GCCUGGGUGGCUUAGUGGUUAAGCGUCUGACUUCAGCUUAGGUCAUGAUCUCGCAGUUUGUGAGUUCAAGCCCCUCAUCGGGCU
rnacentral:tRNA from 1 species